rnacentral:rRNA from 1 species
CCUACGGGGGGCAGCAGUGGGGAAUAUUGGACAAUGGGCGAAAGCCUGAUCCAGCCAUGCCGCGUGUGUGAAGAAGGCCUUCGGGUUGUAAAGCACUUUCAGUGGGGAAGAAAGCCUUGGGGCGAAUACCCUCGAGGAAGGACAUCACCCACAGAAGAAGCACCGGCUAACUCCGUGCCAGCAGCCGCGGUAAUACGGAGGGUGCGAGCGUUAAUCGGAAUUACUGGGCGUAAAGCGCGCGUAGGCGGUCUGAUAAGCCGGUUGUGAAAGCCCCGGGCUCAACCUGGGAACGGCAUCCGGAACUGUCAGGCUAGAGUGCAGGAGAGGAAGGUAGAAUUCCCGGUGUAGCGGUGAAAUGCGUAGAGAUCGGGAGGAAUACCAGUGGCGAAGGCGGCCUUCUGGACUGACACUGACGCUGAGGUGCGAAAGCGUGGGUAGCAAACAGGAUUAGAUACCCUUGUAGUC